rnacentral:rRNA from 1 species
UAGGGAAUCUUCGGCAAUGGACGAAAGUCUGACCGAGCAACGCCGCGUGAGUGAAGAAGGUUUUCGGAUCGUAAAACUCUGUUGGUAGAGAAGAACGUUGGUGAGAGUGGAGAGCUCAUCAAGUGACGGUAACUACCCAGAAAGGGACGGCUAACUACGUGCCAC